GGCCUACAGAUAAUUUCUUUUCCUGUUCUACCAUGUCCUUGUAAUUAAUAAAGUGGUCAAAUCAAGAUAUGCCAAAAGUGCUGCUCUACGGUCAUAGAACUUCAGACCAAGGAUCCUUAUAGGAGGAACUGGGUGGUCAUCCAGCUAGAAAUACCAACGUGCUCUCACACCAUCUGGCUGUUGCCUCAGAGCCUCCUGAGCAUAUUGCCCAGAAGUGACCUCCAGAAUGCUUAUGUGCUAGUAGGGAUUAAAUGUUCAGACAAAGCGUGUCAGCAACAGACAAGACUGUACUGUAUGAAACUGUUCUCCAAGGACAUUCUUCCACUUGUCCCUUGAACAAGAUCUGAAACAACAUCUGGAUGAGGAUUUGUCACAUGACUUUAAAUAUGCUGACAUUUUACUUCAGUGACAUGUUCUGAUGCCCUUUCAAAAAGAAGUACCUACCAAAUGAGGAUUUAAUUUAGAUUUAAGAUUGUAUUUGUCUAUUAAUAAAGUACUAUGUAAUAACUCA
rnacentral:lncRNA from 1 species